rnacentral:rRNA from 1 species
GACGAACGCUGGCGGCGUGCUUAACACAUGCAAGUCGAACGAAGUGGCGAACGGGUGAGUAACGCGUAAUCCACCUGCCCUUCAGAGGGGGACAACAGUUGGCAACGACUGCUAAUACCGAAUACUGCAGGAGGGGUUUGCGUCUGCUUAGCGAGUUGGAGGGGUAACGGCCCAGCAAGGCGAUGAUCAGUAGGCGGUCUGAGAAGAUGAACGGCCACAUGGGGACAGGGCCACGGCCCAGAAUCCUACGGGAGGCAGCAGGGGGGAAUCUUCCGCAAUGGACGAAAGUCUGACGGAGCAACGCCGCGUGAGAGAUGACGGCCUUCGGGUUGUAAAGCUCUGUUAAUCGGGACGCGGUACCGGAAUAGAAAGCCACGGCUAACUACGUGCCAGCAGCCGCGGUAAUUC